AGAGUUUGAUCCUGGCUCAGAAUCAACGCUGGCGGCGCGCCUAACACAUGCAAGUCGAACGAGAAAGCCGCAAGGUGAGUAAAGUGGCGUACGGGUGAGUAACACGUGGAUGAUCUACCCUCUAGUGGGGAAUACCGUUGGGAAACCGACGACAAUACCGCAUAAGCUCGAGAGAGGAAAGCAGCAAUGCGCUGGAGGAGGAGUCCGCGGUCGAUUAGUUAGUUGGCAGGGUAAAAGCCUACCAAGACUGUGAUCGAUAGCCGGCCUGAGAGGGCACACGGCCACACUGGCACUGAAACACGGGCCAGACUCCUACGGGAGGCAGCAGUGGGGAAUCUUGCACAAUGGAGGAAACUCUGAUGCAGCGACGCCGCGUGAGCGAUGAAGCCCUUCGGGGUGUAAA
rnacentral:rRNA from 1 species